UACGUAGGGUGCGAGCGUUGUCCGGAAUUAUUGGGCGUAAAGGGCUCGUAGGCGGUUUGUCGCGUCGGGAGUGAAAACCCAGGGCUUAACCCUGGGCUGGCUUCCGAUACGGGCAGACUAGAGGUAUGCAGGGGAGAACGGAAUUCCUGGUGUAGCGGUGAAAUGCGCAGAUAUCAGGAGGAACACCGGUGGCGAAGGCGGCGACCUGGGUAGAUACUGACGCUGAGGUGCGAAAGCGUGGGGAGCAAACAGG
rnacentral:rRNA from 1 species